UAAGAGUUAGUUUAAAUUUUAGAAUUGUUGAUUGUUGAUCAAAAGGUUUACUCUUAG
rnacentral:tRNA from 1 species